UAAGGAAUAUUGGACAAUGGGCGGAAGCCUGAUCCAGCCAUGCCGCGUGAAGGAAGAAGGCGCUCAGCGUUGUAAACUUCUUUUGAAUGGGAACAAUAACCUCCACGAGUUGGGGGCUUGAGGGUACCAUUAGAAUAAGCACCGGCUAACUCCGUGCCAGCAGCCGCGGUAAUACGGAGGGUGCAAGCGUUAUCCGGAAUCACUGGGUUUAAAGGGUGCGUAGGCGGUUCGGUAAGUCAGUUGUGAAAUCUCUUGGCUUAACCAAUGAAAUUGCGAUUGAUACUGUCGGACUUGAAUCAGGUUGAGGUAGGCGGAAUGUGGCAUGUAGCGGUGAAAUGCAUAGAUAUGCCAUAGAACACCGAUUGCGAAGGCAGCUUGCUGGACCUGAAUUGACGCUGAGGCACGAAAGCGUGGGGAGCAAACAGG
rnacentral:rRNA from 1 species